CAGCAGUCGCCACGGUAAUACGGAGGGUGCAAGCGUUAAUCGGAAUUACUGGGCGUAAAGCGCACGCAGGCGGUCUGACAAGUCAGAUGUGAAAUCCCCGGGCUUAACCUGGGAACUGCAUUUGAAACUGUCAGGCUGGAGUCUUGUAGAGGGGGGUGGAAUUCCAGGUGUAGCGGUGAAAUGCGUAGAGAUCUGGAGGAAUACCGGUGGCGAAGGCGGCCCCCUGGACAAAGACUGACGCUCAGGUGCGAAAGCGUGGGGAGCAAACAGGAUUAGAUACCCGAGUAGUCCCUGUCUCUUAUAC
rnacentral:rRNA from 1 species